rnacentral:rRNA from 1 species
ACCUCUUCCCAUUCCGAACAGAGAAGUUAAGCCCAAUAGCGCCGAUGGUACUGCACACAAGUGGGAGAGUAGGUAGCCGCCGUUC